rnacentral:rRNA from 1 species
UACGUAGGGUGCAAGCGUUGUCCGGAAUUAUUGGGCGUAAAGAGCUCGUAGGCGGUCUGUCGCGUCGGAUGUGAAAACCCAGGGCUCAACCCUGGGCCUGCAUUCGAUACGGGCAGACUAGAGUUCGGUAGGGGAGACUGGAAUUCCUGGUGUAGCGGUGAAAUGCGCAGAUAUCAGGAGGAACACCGGUGGCGAAGGCGGGUCUCUGGGCCGAAACUGACGCUGAUGCGCGAAAGCCAGGGGAGCGAACGGG